GACGAAGGUGGCGAGCGUUUACUCGGAAUACUAGGCGUAAAGCAUGGGCAGGCGGUUCGGCAAGUCUGUUGUGAAAGCUCCUGGCUUAACCGGGAGAGGUCAAUGGAUACUACCGGGGCUUGAAUCGGGGGAGAGGUCACUGGAAUUCCUGGUGUAGCGGUGAAAAUGCGUAGAUAUCGGAAGGAACAUCAGUGGCGAAAAGCGGCUUCCUGGUCCAGCACCGACGUCAGGCACGAAAGCGUGGGGAGCAAACAGG
rnacentral:rRNA from 1 species